ACUUCUCAUCUACAACAGUGGCAAACCCGUCCCAAGUAUGAACAUUUUUUUUUUAAAGUGUUGACUGUUAGAAAUGGUCAUUGUGUCUUAAUAAGACUCAGUAAAAACAUUAAUCUCCUAAGUAAUUGGUAUCCAUUUCAGGAGAAGGGGUAUGUUUGCUUUAGAUCAAUAAACUGGAGUAAAAUUCAAUCACUACCACUUAUUCAAUUUUAAUUUUGAAAGUAUUUGUCAUUUUAUUCAUUUAUAUUACAUGAUAAUUUUACUUUUUAUUCAUAAAAUGAAUUCGUAC